GGAGGGAUGGCCGAGCGGCCGAAGGCGGCGGUCUUGAAAACCGCAGACGCGCAAGCGUCCGGGGGUUCGAAUCCCUCUCCCUCCGCCA
rnacentral:tRNA from 2 species